rnacentral:rRNA from 1 species
UACAGAGGGGGCAAGCGUUGUUCGGAAUUACUGGGCGUAAAGGGCGCGUAGGCGGCCUUCUAAGUCGAACGUGAAAUCCCCGGGCUCAACCCGGGAACUGCGUCCGAUACUGGAGGGCUUGAAUCCGGGAGAGGGAUGCGGAAUUCCAGGUGUAGCGGUGAAAUGCGUAGAUAUCUGGAGGAACACCGGUGGCGAAGGCGGCAUCCUGGACCGGCAUUGACGCUGAGGCGCGAAAGCCAGGGGAGCAAACGGG